rnacentral:tRNA from 1 species
GCGUCCGUAGCUCAGUUGGUUAGAGUAUCACAUUGACAUUGUGGGGGUCACUGGUUCGAAUCCAGUCGGACGCA